rnacentral:rRNA from 1 species
UAAGCAUAUUCAUAAGCGCAGGAAAAGAAACCAACAGGGAUUGCCUCAGUAACGGCGAGUGAAGCGGCAAUAGCUCAAAUUUGAAAUCUGGCCUCUCGGGGUCCGAGUUGUAAUUUGUAGAGGAUGUUUUGGGUACCGCCCCGGUUUAAAUUUCUUGGAACAGAAUGUCAGAGAGGGUGAGAAUCCCGUCUUGGACCGGGGUAGGGCCUGUGUAAAACUCCUUCGACGAGUCGAGUUGUUUGGGAAUGCAGCUCAAAAUGGGUGGUAAAUUUCAUCUAAAGCUAAAUAUUGGCCAGAGACCGAUAGCGCACAAGUAGAGUGAUCGAAAGAUGAAAAGCACUUUGAAAAGAGAGUUAAACAGUAUGUGAAAUUGUUGAAAGGGAAGCGCUUGCAACCAGACUUGAGCGCGGCGGUUCCCCCAGCCUUUUGGCUGGGCUACUCCGUCGUGUCCAGGCCAACAUCGGUUCUGAGGGUCGGUUAAAGGCCUUGGGAAUGUAUCUACCCACGGGUAGACUUAUAGACCAGGGUGUCAUGCGGCCUCUCGGGACCGAGGAACGCGCUUCGGCUCGGAUGUUGGCGUAAUGGUUGUCAGCGACCCGUCUUGAAACACGGACCAAGGAGUCUAACAUCUAUGCGAGUGUUUGGGUGUCAAACCCGGAACGCGGAAUGAAAGUGAACGGAGGUAGGAAGCUUCGGCUGCACUAUCGACCGAUCCUGAAGUUUACGGAAGGAUUUGAGUAAGAGCAUAGCUGUUGGGACCCGAAAGAUGGUGAACUAUGCCUGAAUAGGGUGAAGCCAGAGGAAACUCUGGUGGAGGCUCGCAGCGGUUCUGACGUGCAAAUCGAUCGUCAAAUUUGGGUAUAGGGGCGAAAGACUAAUCGAACCAUCUGGUAGCUGGUUCCUGCCAA